CCCCUAGAGGAGCCUGUUCUAUAAUCGAUAAUCCACGAUCUACCUCACCAUCUCUUGCCAAUACCGCCUAUAUACCGCCGUCACCAGCCUACCCUAUGAAGGAUAUAAAAGUAAGCAAAAUAGCACAACAGCUAACACGUCAGGUCAAGGUGUAGCUUACUGAGAUGGAAGAAAUGGGCUACAUUUUCUAAACUAGAAAUCAUUUCACGGAAAGAGCUAUGAAACAAGUCCUAUAAGUAGGAUUUAGCAGUAAAUAGGGAUCAGAAUGCCCAAUUUAAGCCGGUCCUAAGGUACGC
rnacentral:rRNA from 1 species